UACGGAGGGUGCAAGCGUUGUCCGGAAUCAUUGGGCGUAAAGCGCGUGUAGGCGGCCCGAUAAGUCCGCUGUGAAAGUCCAGGGCUCAACCCUGGGAUGCCGGUGGAUACUGUCGGGCUCGAGUCCGGAAGAGGAGUGUGGAAUUCCGUGGUGUAGCGGUGAAAUGCGCAGAUAUCAGGAGGAACACCAAUGGCGAAGGCAGCACUCUGGGACGUGACUGACGCUGAGACGCGAAAGCGUGGGGAGCAAACAGG
rnacentral:rRNA from 1 species